GACGGAGGGUGCUAGCGUUGUUCGGAAUGACUGGGCGUAAAGGGCGCGUAGGCGGCCGCUUGCGUCGGAUGUGAAAGCCCGGGGCUCAACCCCGGAACGGCAUCCGAUACGGGGCGGCUCGAGACCGAGAGAGGUGAGUGGAAUACCCAGUGUAGAGGUGAAAUUCGUAGAUAUUGGGUGGAACACCGGUGGCGAAGGCGGCGACCUGGUCCGAUACUGACGCUGAGGCGCGAAAGCGUGGGGAGCAAACAGG
rnacentral:rRNA from 1 species